rnacentral:rRNA from 1 species
CUCAAAGGUUCCCUCAGAAUGGUUGGAAAUCAUUCGCAGAGUGUAAAGGCACAAGGGAGCUUGACUGCGAGACCUACAAGUCGAGCAGGGUCGAAAGACGGACUUAGUGAUCCGGUGGUUCCGCAUGGAAGGGCCAUCGCUCAACGGAUAAAAGCUACCCCGGGGAUAACAGGCUUAUCUCCCCCAAGAGUUCACAUCGACGGGGAGGUUUGGCACCUCGAUGUCGGCUCAUCGCAUCCUGGGGCUGUAGUCGGUCCCAAGGGUUGGGCUGUUCGCCCAUUAAAGCGGUACGCGAGCUGGGUUCAGAACGUCGUGAGACAGUUCGGUCCCUAUCCGUCGUGGGCGUAGGAAAUUUGAGAGGAGCUGUCCUUAGUACGAGAGGACCGGGAUGGACAUACCUCUGGUGUACCAGUUGUCGCGCCAGCGGCAUAGCUGGGUAGCUAUGUAUGGACGGGAUAAGUGCUGAAAGCAUCUAAGCAUGAAGCCCCCCUCAAGAUGAGAUUUCCCAACUUCGGUUAUAAGAUCCCUCAAAGAUGAUGAGGUUAAUAGGUUCGGGGUGUAAGCGCAGUAAUGUGUGUAGCUGACGAAUACUAAUCGAUCGAAGACUUAAUCAA